UUUUUUUAGUUGUUAAUUUUACAUCCUUAUAAGGUGAGCUCUAGCAAAGUACAUAUUUGUGACAAUUACAGAUGGCCAAUUUUAUAAAAAUGUUCCUGGCUAUUUCAGCAGUUCUAUUUCUGGUACUGCUACAUUCCGAUAGUGUGAUUGGUGGAGCAAUGCACAGAAAUAAAAUAGAAGAACAACUAAUAAGAAGCAAGAGAGGUGUUUCAUUUUUAGGACGAAGAAGAUAUGUACCGCUACCAAUAAUUUUUGGAAAAUGAUAUUAGUAUAUCCAAUUAUAUUCAUGCUUUUUACUUUUAUAUACUUUUCGAUUUUAUCAGUAUAUUUAUAAUGGAUAUAUAAUAUAACAUGUACUUAAUUUUAAGAAAUAUAGACGACAAUAAAUAGAUAUUUAAGUGAA